AGGAAACUCAUCCGAUUUCAAGAGCGAAAUUUUUGUGGCAGACGGACAUAUAUAUCACAAUGUCAAUGAUGCGUAAAAAAUAAGCAAGUUAAAUUAGUUAUCGGUUUAUUAAAGUGAGCUUGAGACUAUUAAAGGUUACCUUUAUUUAAAUGAGAAAAGUUGUUUUGCCACUAGGUGACGCAACUGUUUUUAAACCAGGACAUUUGCAUGAAGUACAUAACUGUCUGUACAUUUGUUCAAUGGAUGCCGAGCGACAAAGUUCCCUUCAAGUCAUCCCUUUGUUUUACGCUAAAUUUACUUGAGUUAAGGAAAGGCCGUGCAGGUAUGGAUAAAAAUUCGUUGUCAACUUGAGUGACGGACGGUAUGGUAAUAUAAAUUAAUAGUAUAACAACUGCCCUGGCCCUUGCAGGAACUUUGGACUUUUUGACCGCGGAUUUCGAAACAAUGGAAUAUUUCGUUUACUGAAUAAGAAUUGUCAUUUAACUUUCAAAAAUGAAGAGGUGGUAACGGAGUAAACGGACUAACGAUGAAGAAUUCUUAUUGGACGAUUUGUUCAAAUUCAUCAUGCAACAUUGCCUCCGCGCCCUAAAUUUUAGUGCUUCAAAUCAUUCAAAAUGGCCGGCGCCUGGCGUAGUGUUGUGACAACAAUUCCGACGAUAAUUGUUAUUCUUAGGGAUAUGAUAAUAUCUUCAGCUGAAGGCUUCAUGGUUCAUGUGAUCUAGGUGCUUGUGACAGUGAUAAAAUGGUCCAAUUCAAGCCGAAUUCAAGCUGUCUUCCAAAACCAAGGAAAUUCUGUUUGCAAGAACGCCAAUAUGUUCCAUCGGGAUAUUCGGUCACAUCGUCAACAAUCACAAGCUAUUCAAAUAUCUAUGCAUCACCUAUUUAUGUGCCAGUUCCCGUUUCACUGCCUUCACAAAUCAAUCAACCGGAGAGUGGAACUUUUGGAUUCAAAAGAAAGAGUUUCUCAGUUGGAAGAUCUAUAGCGGAUGCUGGGACUACAGAAAAAGAUUCAGGAAUUGGAGAUUAGUUUGCAGGAAGCCAAAACCAAACAGGCUGUUCCUCCCAGUGGAAUUAAGAGCCAGCAGGUCGUCAUCGAAAAAUCGAUAUCGCAAGAAGCCGAACUUUGUGUGUUCCUGAAAAGAAUCCUUCUACCUCAUCUUUUCUAAAAUUCUGAAUGAAAUUGAUCUUCUGCAAGUCCGAUUGAGCAAUGUGAUCGCCUCAACCGGAGCUGUUGUUGUCAACCGUCGUCGCAUUGGAAAGAUAACGGCGAGGCUCGAUCGUUCGCCAAGAUGAUUCAACGAGAGGUUGAAGCCCUUUCAGCUAUCCAGCACCGCAAUAUUAUUGGACUGCUCGGUCUUUGCACGGAUAACGAAUCGAGUGAUGGUGAAGCAUCGAUUAGAGUCUCGCUCAUCUUUGAAUUCGCCAACGGAGGGACUCUUUUCGACUGUCUUUUCGGUGGUCAAGCAAAAAACAGCAAAUUCAAAUUAGACGUGAAUCAAAUGAUGCUGAUCGCUCGCCAUCUCACCGCGAGGCUCUCCAUCUAUUGCAUUCCACUCAGCAGAAGCCGGGCGGUUCAGUUAUGGUCUACCGUGACGUGAAAUCCGCCAAUGUUUUACUGUAACGGGAUGACGAAGGAAGAGUCGUACGAACUGUUUUGGCCGAUUUUGGUUUGGCACGUUUUCAUUCGAAAGUUUCUCCGGCUCUGGCCUAGCAGCCAGUUCCAUGACAGCCGUGGUAGGCGUGGUAGGUACCCACGGCUAUGUCAAUCCUUUGUAUGCGGCGAGUUUAACCUACAGACGGGCUGGCUAGUUUGCGUGUCCUUCACGCUUGAAGGUCGCGGGGAAUAUUACGUUAAACUGUCAAUGCGAAUGAAACGUGUUCCACA